rnacentral:tRNA from 1 species
GAAUUGUAGCUCAGUGGCAGAGCAUUCGACUGCAGAUCGAGAGGUCAGCGGUUCAAAUCCGCCCGCAAAACA